GAUGAACGCUAGCGGCAGGCCUAAUACAUGCAAGUCGAACGGAUAUAUGUUUUUCGGAAUAUAUAUUAGUGGCGCACGGGUGAGUAACACGUACAUAACUUGCCCUCAAGCGGGGGAUAGCCUUGGGAAACUGAGAGUAAUACCCCAUAGAAUUAUUGGACGGCAUCGUUUGAUAAUUAAAACUACGGUGUUUGGGGAUAGAUGUGCGUCUGAUUAGCUAGUUGGUGAGGUAACUGCUCACCAAGGCGACGAUCAGUAGGGGGCGUGAGAGCGUGGCCCCCCCACACGGGUACUGAGACACGGACCCGACUCCUACGGGAGGCAGCAGUAAGGAAUAUUGGUCAAUGGACGGAAGUCUGAACCAGCCAUCCCGCGUGCAGGAUGACUGCCCUAUGGGUUGUAAACUGCUUUUAGCAGAGACGAAACGCCUCCAUUUAUGAGGGUCUGACGGUAUCUGCAGAAUAAGCACCGGCUAACUCCGUGCCAGCAGACGCGGUAAAGU
rnacentral:rRNA from 1 species